ACAAAUGAAAGGGAACAGAGAAGUAGCGGAGGUUUGCUUCGGAUAUUCUUCCAUUGAGAUACCAUGCUGAACGGAAGCUUCUUCGUCGAUUCCUGCACCUAUAUAACAAUCAUCAAGCAUAUCAAAUAGGGCUUGGUGUUCAGUAAACAACUGGAAAGGAUUAAAUGGAGUCUGCCUUUCACGAAGUGCCUACCAAUGUAUCCCGUCGGAUGUCUCUUGCGUCAACUCUAUAAAACACUUGUAACAAACUUCUUCCCUGCUCAAUAUAUUGGAGCAACUAUGCUGCAUUUGUUAGAAGAAAAUGACUCACAAGGAACAAUCAUUUUCUCUAGAUAAAACAUAAGAAACAAGUUGUAUGUUGACUUACUCCUUUAAAUCAAACAUGCUCCAUGGCAUGGCAAAGUCUUCAUGUUCCUAUCAAAACCGCAACCGAGUUGCAGAAGCACUUGGUCUUAUCUCGUAAUCUAGCAAAUAAUCAGAACUACCACCAAAUGUGACUACCACGGUACCACAAUGCUAUGUCAUGGUAUCACAUAUCAAUCCGUCAUGAGUCAUAAGACAAGAAUAAUACUAUAGCCAAGAUCUAAAUGGGGCUUCACUGCAUCUACAACUGGAUUUUCAAAGAAGCAUAACUGAAGCAUGUUGAAUAAGUACAAACAGAUUCUAAUGAUGUAUAUCUGUAUAUGCAGCAAGUUGAAAAGUAAGAGAUGCAGACAGCAAGCAAUUGUC
rnacentral:lncRNA from 1 species